UACGAAGGGGCUAGCGUUGCUCGGAAUCACUGGGCGUAAAGGGUGCGUAGGCGGGUCUUUAAGUCAGGGGUGAAAUCCUGGAGCCUCAACUCCAGAACUGCCUUUGAUACUGAAGAUCUUGAGUUCGGGAGAGGUGAGUGGAACUGCGAGUGUAGAGGUGAAAUUCGUAGAUAUUCGCAAGAACACCAGUGGCGAAGGCGGACUCACUGCCCGAUACUGACGCUGAGGCACGAAAGCGUGGGGAAGCAAACAGGGAUUAAGAAACC
rnacentral:rRNA from 1 species